GAUGAACGCUGGCGGCGUGCCUAAUACAUGCAAGUCGAGCGAACAGACUAGGAGCUUGCUCCUCUGACGUUAGCUGCGGACGGGUGAGUAACACGUGGAUAACCUACCUAUAAGACUGGGAUAACUUCGGGAAACCGGAGCUAAUACCGGAUAAUAUAUUUAACCGCAUGGUUCAAUAGUGAAAGACGGUUUUGCUGUCACUUAUAGAUGGAUCCGCGCCGCAUUAGCUAGUUGGUAAGGUAACGGCUUACCAAGGCAACGAUGCGUAGCCGACCUGAGAGGGUGAUCGGCCACACUGGAAAUGAGACACGGUACAGACUCCGACGGGAGGCAGCAGUAGGGAAUCUUACGCAAGGGGUGAAAGCCUGACGGAGCAAAGCCGCGUGAGUGAUGAAGGUCUUAGGAUCGUAAAACUCUGUUAUUAGGGAAGAACAAAUGUGUAAGUAACUAGGAACGUCUUGACGGUACCUAAUCAGAAAGCCACGGCUAACUCCGUG
rnacentral:rRNA from 1 species